rfam:Gossypium arboreum cultivar AKA8401 contig_54962_1, whole genome shotgun sequence.
AUCCCAUGAUGAGGACACUUACGAAGCAAUUCCUUGAAUCUCUCGCACACCUCGUAUAAGAACUCAUCAUCCAAUUGUUGAAAAGUAGUUAUCUCAUUUCGCAACUU